UACGUAGGAGGCAAGCGUUAUCCGGAAUGACUGGGCGUAAAGGGUGCGUAGGUGGUUUGGCAAGUUGGUAGCGUAAUCCCGGGGCUCAACCUCGGUGCUACUACCAAAACUGUUGAACUUGAGUGCAGGAGGGGUGAAUGGAAUUCCCAGUGUAGCGGUGGAAUGCGUAGAUAUUGGGAAGAACACCAGCGGCGAAGGCGAUUCACUGGACUGUAACUGACACUGAGGCACGAAAGCGUGGGGAGCAAACA
rnacentral:rRNA from 1 species